rnacentral:tRNA from 1 species
GCCUGGGUAGCUCAGUCGGUUGAGUGUCUGACUUCAGCUCAGGCCCGAGUCUCAUGGUGUGUGGAUUCGAGCCCUACGUUGGGCU